GACGAACGCUGGCGGCGUGCUUAACACAUGCAAGUCGAACGGAAAGGCCCUGCUUUUGUGGGGUGCUCGAGUGGCGAACGGGUGAGUAACACGUGAGUAACCUGCCCUUGACUUUGGGAUAACUUCAGGAAACUGGGGCUAAUACCGGAUAGGAGCUCCUGCUGCAUGGUGGGGGUUGGAAAGUUUCGGCGGUUGGGGAUGGACCCGCGGCUUAUCAGCUUGUUUGGGGGGUAGGGGCUUACAAAGGCUUUGACGGGUAGCCGGCCUGAGAGGGUGACCGGCCACAUUGGGACUGCGAGACGGACCAGACUCCUACGGGAGGCAGCAGGGGGGAAUAUUGCACAAUGGGCGGAAGCCUGAUGCAGCAACGCCGCGUGCGGGAUGACGGCCUUCGGGUUGUAAACCGCUUUCGCCUGUGACGAAGCGUGAGUGACGGUAAUGGGUAAGGAAGCACCGGCUAACUACGUG
rnacentral:rRNA from 1 species